rnacentral:lncRNA from 1 species
GACUCUGAGCCAGCUGCCUCUCUAAGCUUGGAGCUUGGGAGUGCCGUCUGGCCAGACUCAUAAAGGUCUGUUCUACUUUCCAACUUGUCCGGUGUGUUCCUUCCCGGGUGUUCUUCGCUGCAGUCAGCUCCUCGGAGCGUUUGAUACUGCUGAGAUUCAUCGGUAGAGCUGAGUGCUUAUGAUUUUCAGAUCAUGCUCAGUGAUUCCACAAAGCAGUAAGUGAAGAGAAGAGCAUGAAGUACUGAACUCCUGAGCCCUGCUCCUUCCCACAAAUGCUGCUUGUGUUCACCUCCUCCUUCAUCUGCAAAAUUGGCCGAUACUGUCCUUUAGAGGAAAUCAUUCCCAGUAGUCUGGACAGAUGACUGCUUUUCUGAACCAGCUCUCAGCAAAAAAGGGGCAUUUUUCACCUGGGCACUCACUACACCCCCUACAGCUAUGGCAGAGGAGGUAGCAUCCCCAGGUGUUUUUGCUUAUACUCUUUUUAAUGUCUAAAUAAAAAGAAUAGAAAGAAGCCUUUGUUUUAAUGCACAUGAAUAUGUACAUAUACUUUUUUGUUAUCUUAGAAUUUUAUAUUUGGAAUUGAUAAUUGAAUGAGAAUGUUGCAUAGGUCCACCAAUAAAAUAUAAUCUGUUUAUUGGCUAUCUUAGCUACUUUUCUUGUUCCUGAGACACAAUACCUGAUACCCACAACUCUAAAGAGGAGAGGUUUAUUUUGGCUCACAGUUUGUAGAGGUUUCAGUCCAUAGUCACCUGGCUUCAAGGCAGGGUGGCAUGGCAGAGGAUAUGGCAGAGAAGAAACAGUCCAUGGCAGGCAGGAUACAGCGAGGAAUCAAGGGAGGAGGAGGGAGACAGACCCCUCCAGGUCAUCCCCACAGUGACCACCUCCUCUCACCAGGUUGUAUCUCCCAACAUCACAUUUAGCUACAAACCCAUCAGUGGACUAAUCCAGUGAUGAGUAUCACACCCC